GUCUAUGGCCAUGCCACCCUGAACAAGCUCUAUGUCUGAUCUCGGAAGCUAAGGAAGAUCGGACCUGGUUAGUACUUGGAUGAGAGACCACCUAGGAAGACCAGAUGCUGGAGGCA
rnacentral:rRNA from 1 species